GAACGGAUUUCACGAAAUUCAACCCCUAAGGGGUAAAACGGGGGUUGGAAGUUUGUAUGAAAGUCCUAUGUUUUUGAAUUAAGAGACUUGAAAUUUAAAAUGUACGCUCUAUAGAUGGUGAGAAGGUGUCCAAAUAAUGUAUCUUUAGAAAUCAACUCCCUUUUGGGGUUAAAACGGGGGAUGGUAGGUUGACUCACUCAUCA
rnacentral:misc_RNA from 1 species